AACGAACGCUGGCGGCAUGCCUAACACAUGCAAGUCGAACGGCAGCACAGGAGAGCUUGCUCUCUGGGUGGCGAGUGGCGGACGGGUGAGGAAUACAUCGGAAUCUACCUUGUCGUGGGGGAUAACGUAGGGAAACUUACGCUAAUACCGCAUACGACCUUCGGGUGAAAGUGGGGGACCGCAAGGCCUCACGCGAUUAGAUGAGCCGAUGUCGGAUUAGCUAGUUGGCGGGGUAAAAGCCCACCAAGGCGACGAUCCGUAGCUGGUCUGAGGGGAUGAUCAGCCACACUGGAACUGAGACACGGUCCAGAGUCCUACGGGAGGCAGCAGUGGGGAAUAUUGGACAAUGGGCGCAAGCCUGAUCCAGCCAUACCGCGUGGGUGAAGAAGGCCUUCGGGUUGUAAAGCCCUUUUGUUGGGGAAGAAAUCUUGCCGGUUAAUACCUGGCGAGGAUGACGGUACCCAAAGAAUAAGCACCGGCUAACUUCGUGCCAGCCGCCGCCGUAAGAC
rnacentral:rRNA from 1 species